rnacentral:rRNA from 1 species
GUGGGGAAUAUUGGACAAUGGGGGGAACCCUGAUCCAGCCAUGCCGCGUGUGUGAAGAAGGCCUUUUGGUUGUAAAGCACUUUAAGCGAGGAGGAGGCUACCGAGAUUAAUACUCUUGGAUAGUGGACGUUACUCGCAGAAUAAGCACCGGCUAACUCUGUGCCAGCAGCCGCGGUAAUACAGAGGGUGCAAGCGUUAAUCGGAUUUACUGGGCGUAAAGCGCGCGUAGGUGGCCAUUUAAGUCAAAUGUGGAAUCCCCGAGCUUAACUUGGGAAUUGCAUUCGAUACUGGUUGGCUAGAGUAUGGGAGAGGAUGGUAGAAUUCCAGGUGUAGCGGUGAAAUGCGUAGAGAUCUGGAGGAAUACCGAUGGCGAAGGCAGCCAUCUGGCCUAAUACUGACACUGAGGUGCGAAAGCAUGGGGAGCAAACAGGAUUAGAAACCCUAGUAGUCC